AAAGGUAAGCUACUAAGAGCGAAUGGUGGAUGCCUUGACUGGUAAAGGCGAUGAAGGACGUACUAGACUGCGAUAAGCUACGGGGAGCUGUCAAGAAGCUUUGAUCCGUAGAUUUCCGAAUGGGGCAACCCAAUGUAUAGAGAUAUACAUUACCUAUAUAGGAGCGAACGAGGGGAAUUGAAACAUCUUAGUACCCUCAGGAAAAGAAAUCAAUAGAGAUUGCGUCAGUAGCGGCGAGCGAAAGCGCAAGAGGGCAAACCCAGUGCUUGCACUGGGGGUUGUAGGACUGCAAUGUGCAAGAGGUGAGUUUAGCAGAACAUUCUGGAAAGUAUAGCCAUAGAGGGUGAUAGUCCCGUAUGCGAAAAACAAACCUUAGCUAGCAGUAUCCUGAGUAGGGCGGGACACGAGAAAUCCUGUCUGAAGCUGGGUCGACCACGAUCCAACCCUAAAUACUAAUACCAGAUCGAUAGUGCACAAGUACCGUGAGGGAAAGGUGAAAAGAACUGAGGUGAUCAGAGUGAAAUAGAACCUGAAACCAUUUGCUUACAAUCAUUCAGAGCCCUAUGUAGCAAUACAGGGUGAUGGACUGCCUUUUGCAUAAUGAGCCUGCGAGUUGUGGUGUCUGGCAAGGUUAAGCAAACGCGAAGCCGUAGCGAAAGCGAGUCUGAAUAGGGCGCUUAGUCAGAUGCUGCAGACCCGAAACGAAGUGAUCUAUCCAUGAGCAAGUUGAAGCUAGUGUAAGAACUAGUGGAGGACUGAACCCAUAGGCGUUGAAAAGCCCCGGGAUGACUUGUGGAUAGGGGUGAAAGGCCAAUCAAACUUCGUGAUAGCUGGUUCUCUCCGAAAUAUAUUUAGGUAUAGCGUUGUGUCGUAAUAU
rnacentral:rRNA from 1 species